CUUAGGAACUCACUUGAUCAGGUAUGUGGUUCAUGGCUUCAGAUUCUGAAGUGUGUCUAUUAUUGGAUAGCACCUGUCCAGCAAAUUUUCAGUUAUUACAUGGGCGUUCCAAAUUGAACCAAAGUACUGUAUUAUACCGUUUGGGAACUGAAAAGGAACUAUUACUGUAAAAACUAAAGAGAACUCAUAUUUACUGUUUUGGUUCGGUUAUGUUUCUUCAUCAAAAACCGAACUAGAACUACACUAGAACAAUCUUGAG
rnacentral:misc_RNA from 1 species